GACGAACCGUCCAAACGUUAUUCGGAAUCACUGGGCUUACAGAGUUCGUAGGCGGUCUGGAAAGUUGGGUGUGAAAUCCCUCGGCUCAACCGAGGAACUGCGCUUGAAACUACCAGACUCGAGGGAGAUAGAGGAAAGCGGAACUGAUGGUGGAGCGGUGAAAUGCGUUGAUAUCAUCAGGAACACCGGUGGCGAAGGCGGCUUUCUGGGUCUUACCUGACGCUGAGGAGCGAAAGCGUGGGUAGCGAACAGG
rnacentral:rRNA from 1 species